UCUAAUGGCUUGGAAAUGCAAAAUCUGUGCUGCUGUCUUUGAUAAGAGGACACGUGUUUGAACACUGUCAUUUGCCUCAUAGUAAUGUUUCCUCUGUCAGCCCAUUGCCAUGUCUCUAUGAUGACUGUCUGCACCUUUCAGUCAGUAAAUGCUUUGAAAAUUCACUUAACAUGGCUACAUACUCAGACUGUUGUGCAAAGUGGAAAUCACAUGGAAUGUGUAUCAUUUAUCUGUCCAAUGUGUGGAUUCAAGCAGCCCUUUAAUGAGAAAACUGCAAUCAGUCAUUUAAGAACACAUUUGAAGCAGCAUGAGAUGGUGGAUUGUCCAUUCAAAAAUUGCCACUACCGUACAAAUGUGUAUUCCUCUUUUAAUGCCCACAAAAGUAGGAAUCAUCCAGAUAGCGAUGUCUCAGAUUUCAAGAAUGAGAUAGUCUUGACAGAAACUGCACACAUUGACAGCUCAAUGCAGAGUCAAAUUGAAUCGGACGAUGCUGACCCCUCUCAGAAUUUGCCUGAAUUAGAUACUCCUGUCUGUAAUCCUCAUGAGUGUAGUUAUGACAUUGUUGAAUUGCAGGCUCAAUUGAGAAUGAACUUGGCUUCUUUUCACAUGAAAAUGCACAGUGUUCUUCAUGUAUCAGAGAUAGCAAUACAAGACAUAGUUGACAAUUUGGUACAAAUAUUCUCAUUGUCUAAACCUCUUGUAAGAGACUCAGUCAUCAUGGUACUGCAAGAGCAUGAUCAGUCUGUCAGUGAUGUUCUUCUUAAUGAAUUAGUGGAAGCCAUCAUGAAAAGUAACGUCUUGGUCAGUGCAACUGCAGAAGGUGCAGAGCUGUCCACCACUAAGCGGAGGAAAACGUUUAUUAGGAGCAACUACCCUGUGGUAAUGCCAGUGCAAUAUACUGUAGAUGUCAGUGGACACACAGCAGUCUACGUUCCGAUACUACAGAUGCUUCAAACAAUGUUUAAAGACACUGAUCUUCUUGAUAAAAUUCAAGAAGCUAAACCAUCACCACCUGGAACAUACAUGUGCCAUGAAGAUGGUACAUAUUUCAAAGAAAAUCAGUUACUGUCAGAAGAGGGAGAGCUUAAACUGUCACUGAUUUUGUAUGUGGAUGACGUUGAAUUAGCAAAUCCUUUAGGCACAGCUAGAAAGAUCCACAAGCUUUGUGCAGUAUAUUGGUUGCUUGCCAAUGUACCCAGUAAAUAUAGGUCCAGCCUGCAUGUCAUACAGCUAGCUCUGCUGUGCAAAGUACCUGACAUGCAGAAGUGUGGUUAUGAAAGUGUCCUGUCACCUUUGUUGAAAGACUUACAGACUCUUGAGCAGGAUGGCAUUUUCACUGAAAGUCUUGGUCAGUGUAUCAGGGGCACUGUGAUGUGUGUAGCAGCUGAUAAUUUGGCAGCUCAUGGUCUUGCAGGUUUUGUGCAGUCUUUCUGGGGAAACUGUGUGUGUAGAUUCUGUUGCUGUACUACAGACCAAAUUCAGACCAGUGAAGUAUCUGAAGCAGCGUUUGCCAUGAGGACCAAGGCCGACCAUGAUCUACAUGUGCAAAAUGUGCAAAAUGUGCAAAGAGAAAAUGUAACCCAUUAUGGUGUUACUGGUGAGUGUGCUCUCAGCAAGGCAUUGCAGCAUUUUCAUCCCAUUACUGGUUUCCCACCCAAUAUACUGCAUGAUCUGUUUGAGGGUAUUGUACCAAUUGAGCUGGCCUUGUGCAUUCAUCAAAUGAUUCGACUUAAAUAUUUUACUCUUGAGUAUUUAAACACAAAAAUUUGCACAUUUCCAUAUCAGCACUCUGAUAAGCUUGAUAAACCGCAACUAAUACCAAAAAAUUUUGCAACAAAAUGAAGCAUCGGUGGGAAUGGACAUGAAAAUGCCACCUUGUUGAGGUUAUUACCACUUAUGGUAGGAAGUAAGGUUCCUGAAGGAGAUGAGGCAUGGGCUGUAUUGAUGGACCUUAAAGAAAUUGUGCAGCUAGUGUUGUCUCCAUCUUUCACAGAGGAAUCCCUGCAAUACAUGCAGACUAAAAUACGUGAUCACAGACAGGGUCUUACAACAGUCUUUGCAGACUUGAAGCUCAGACCCAAGCAUCAUUAUGUUGAACACUACCCAGACCUGACGUUUUGGUCCCUUAAUUCACCUAUGGACCAUGAGGUUUGAAGGAAAACAUAGAUUUUUCAAAAAGGUAAUACAUGAUGCACAAAAUUUCAAGAACAUCUUGAAAACUCUUUCUACCAGACAUCAGCACAUGAUGGCGUAUUACCUCAAUGCCCCAUCAUUUUUCAAACCUCACACACAAGCUGCAAAUGUCACCUUUGUCCAAGUUGCUACUCUGCCUCAAGUGGCACAAGACUUCAUAGAGACCAAGACUGAUAGCCAAACCAUAUACAGUACAUCAAAGGUCUCUAUGAAUGGCACAGAGUAUGCAAAUGGUAUGUUUGUUUCUGCAGGCCAGAGAGGAGGACUUCCAAAAUUCAGCAGAAUUGAGCACAUACUGCUUGUGAAUAACUCCGUUUACUUUGUUUGCAGGAGCUAUGAGUGCUGGUAUAGUGAGCAUCUGAGAUCAUUUGAGCUGACAUCAUCUGACACUUGCUCUGUGCAUCGGCUGACCGAACUAAAUGACACAGUAAGUCUCGCGGCAUACUCCAUUGAUGGACGUUUACUGUUAACACAGAAAAGAUUUAUUAUGGUCAGAGACGUGGAGGACUAAAAUGCAUUUAGACAUUGGGACUCUUACUACAGUAAGAUCCAGCCAGAGCUUCAUAUGAUAAUCUUCUGAAGAAGAAAUCAAAAUGUACAAUCUGAAUCACAGUUUUUCUCACCUCACUUUCUUGAAACACUGUUCAGAAAAUUUAAAUUCACACAAGUUAACAACAAAAUAAUGCAUUCUCUCUUUUCUUUUUAACAAUAGGAGAUGGCAGCACAAAAUUUCCUACUACAUGUCCAUGUCUCCACAGACCUUGUGAGGAAGAUGACGUUAUCCUCACGUCCAGAAUCUGUGGAUGAUUUAAAAAUAAUGAUAAAAGAGAAAUUUAAGCUUGACUUUGACUUCAGCCUGUCAUACGAAGAUCCAGACUUUGACGGACAACUUUGUUCACUAGUAGAUAUUGAGGAACUUCCACAGAAGCCUGUAGUAAAAGCUAUAAGAUUUGAGAGUGACGACAGCUCAGUAGCAUCAGAUGACACAAUAAUACUGCCCCAUGCCAUGACUCCAGAAAGAGCUGAGAGAUGGCCUCAGGUUUUUCCUAUGAGGUAGAAUUCAUACUCAGUGAAGGGAAUGCUACAUAUGUGAGAACAGGGAAAACUCUCAAGUUAUCUAGAGGGCCAAAGCAUGACAUCCUUGAGACUUGCUUCCAAAAUGCAUAGCUAUAAAGCAUACCCCAGUGAUAGGGAAGUUUCAGUGGUAGCAGAAGCUCUUGUAACUAAGCAUCCUUGUCUAAAAGAACCAGGAUCUCAGACAGGGUGGUACGGUUGGAAAAAUAGUCUGAAGUUUAAAAUAGGGAACUACCGCACUAAGUUAAGUCGGGCUGGAUUUCAGGAGGUAGCUGUAAAUUCGGGGAAGAGAAGUAGAAAAAACCCAGAGAAACAAUCUCCUCACAGUAACAUCAAAAGACCCAGAAGGCAGAAGUGAACUUCCUCCCCAAUUACCCAAGGGGUGAAGAUACUACAAGCCUUGAGCAACUGAGACUGCAAAUUGUGGAUGAAGUGAAGAUGAGUGACAAAAAUCUUGUCCAUAUUACAAAGUUAAUGCAGACCACCUUUGCCCUGCGGCGCAAAUAGGUUGUCAAUGAUGACCUACCUGUUGCUGAGAUCCUGGAAAGGUGGCCUGCCCUCAAAAUAGAGUCACAGAUCUGUGCUGAGUUUCACAGAAUUACAAACAUGAACCUGAAGAACCGCUUCUAUGCUGUGUUGGAUCGACAUUCUCCCCAUCUUCACAACUUGUUCAGGAAGAAAGCUGCUCGCACUGGGAAAGUGGCUGAAGUUCUGGGUCAGCUCUUCGGGAUUUAUGACCUCCAGGAACAUGUUGAUGUCCAUGUAAGACGAGCUGCUGUCCUCCGUGCUCUCCCUGCCUAUCUACAUGAAGAUGACUCUGGCUUUCUAAAGAUGUGGCACGUGGAGCAACAGUCUGAUGACCCAGACAUUGAUGACUUACCUCUUGGACUCCUCUCUGUUGGUGCCAAUUCAAGAGAUGUCACAUUCUUCUGCCCAGAGAAGAUUACAGUUGUGGUUGAGGGUAACAUAGUUAUCAAUGUCCCCACAAUGGCUCAUGCAUAUGUCAUGCUGUUUGCACUGAUUUACGCCCUGCAUUUAAGUUACCCAAAAGAGUUGUCCAACACAUUUGACUUUAUCCAGAAAGUCUUGAUGGGUCUGGAGGAUGGAAAGUUGAGGCCCAGAGUGCUGAGUCUUAAAAAUGACCUUUUAGCCAUGGAGUAAACUCUGUGUUGGAGUUUCAAUGUCCACUUCUGUUUCUUUUGGGACACAGCCUAGAAAGGAUUUUUACACAUUUAACAGGUGUGUGUGUUGAAAGUAUUGUUGUUCAUGUUGUUCAGCUUAAAAUAUAACUUGUGGAUUCGGUUCGGUUUCAGGCAACAAUGAAAGUCACUGAAUAUAGCACCAAGCAAGAUAAUCAUGACUCCGGUUCCUUUCAUUUAGUGACAUCACCAGACCACCGGAGACACAACCCAGGUUCAAAAAAUUCUAAAAAGAAUGUGGUAAUGGUAAAUCACUGAACGAGAUUGUUUAUGGCAAUAGUGAAUUUUAGUGCUCUAAACCUACAGGCCUUGCACUGUUGUGGGAAGAUUAUUCCCGUGUUACUGUUUGAAGUCAAGUUAGUGGAUACUCAGAUAUUUUGGCAUAACGCGUACACUGAGGUAGAGGUCUGAUAUCUUUGUGACCAAAAUGAUGUCCGGCAGUAUUGGAUUUUUGCUAUUUGUUGCGCACAAUGCCAAGACUGUUAUGAUAUAGAUUCAUUUUACAAUGAAAAGGUUUUGUGUAAUGUAACAGGGUUUUAUGCAUAUUGCCCACUUUUAGGAGUUCCAUGUCUUUGGUGAUUUUUACAGCCUUUCAACUGUUUUUUGAAGAGUUCAUUGGAUUUCCAUUUCCAAACAAUUUUAUGGCAGAUGUUUGCCUUAUGUUUUACAGUUACUUAAUAAAAAAGUAACUUGUGGUUAAAUUGUCUGUCUUAACCAUUUUUAUUUAAUUUCAGAAUGUGUUAAGUUAGAAACUUUGAGUUAGAGUUACUCAAUAAAUUUUAUGUAAUCAGUUUCAAAAAAAAAUUUAACUGCACAAUCGUGUAAUUUUUAGUUGUUAUUAUAUAAAGGUUUUAAUUAUAGCUGAGUUUAUAUAACUUGGUUGAAUUUAAAAAUUUUAAGUUAACAAAAAGUAAACACUUUGUUAGUAAGAAAUUAAAUACUUUAUGUUAGGGUAAUAAAAUUUUUAAGUUAUCAAUGCUUAUUUUAAUUAGUAGAGUGAACCCCAAAUACCUAGUACAUAUGACUUAAUCAACGUUUCUCUAACUUAUAAAAUUAAGUAAGUUUGACUUAAAAUGAGCUAGCUCAGGCUACGUAAUGACGAAUGUUCCCUAAACUUAAAAUAUGAGGUAGACUUACUUAAAAGUUUCGAUGUAAUCAGUUUCAAAAGAUUUUUUGAGUCACAAUAACUCAUCGGGUUUUACAGUGUAAAACAUCCAGAAUUGGAGCUCAUAUCUUUGGCAGCUGUAAAGUUUCUGCUCCUUCAAAGUUCACAACACAAUGAAUGAAUUCCUAAAACACUCUCAAUGCUGGAGAACGUUUGUGAUGCUGAAGCAGUGACCAGUUUUUCUGUUUCUUCUCUGGAGAUGCACAAUGAGGGACGUCUGCAGAGACUGAGAAAGAGUCUCACCACAUCCUGACAUGAGGAAAAAGACUUUAUUGAAGACUACAAUGAGAAAAACUAUCAGACAGCAGACGGCUGCAUUCAAGUCUGUAGCUGCUAAAUUCAUGGAUGAAUCAUCUGGCACUAGAGAGGAAGACCAUCAAACAUCCACGUCAGCUGAUGGAGGUCCAAGAGUCUCACCAAACAAACAACCUACAGAGUGAAGACCUCGAAUCUGAUUGGACGGCCUCCUAUUCAGCCACGUGUGAACAAAUGCCUCUAAGUUGAUUUGAUUUCUAAAAUAAAUCUAGUUUGUGUCCUAAUCUAUGCCUGUGUGUUUGCUUCUUUACACUGCUGUUAACAGUUUAGGCUGUUAGAUUGUUCCAGAUAAGACAAGUACAAGAUUGUUCAGAGCCGUUCUACCACGAGCCUGACAGGAAGAACUCCAGCAGCUACUGAAUGUUCCUGUGGUCCCCUCAAGGCUACAGGAGGAGUCCUACGAGGACGAGCCGGUCCACCUGAUGGUGGCCAGUCGCUGCGGUUCAAAGCCAACACCGACUACGUGGACUUCUACUGGACCACACGGAGGCCUUCAAACCGGACCAACAAGUUCAGCGACUCCCCGACUCGUGGGUCUGAGGACGCCGCCGAGCCUCGGUCCAGCCGGCCUCCUGUCUGUGGGUGUUUGAGUGCUGAGAGGUUUGUGGAUGCAUGUGAACGUUCUGUGUUGAAACAGCAGCUUUGGACUCAGUAACGCCGGGAAAAACCAAGAGCUCCUUUAUUUGUGACUUCCACUAAAAAACUGAUGAAAAUAAGUUUGCCAGGGUUCUGACUGAUAACAGAUUAUUAAAUAAUGAAAAUAAUCAUUUAAAUAUUCCUUUAAACAAUCCUUUUAGGUCUACAUUUCCUUUACACUGACUUUUUGGUAUAUGCACAAGUAUUUUGGGUGGAAUAUACCAUUAAGCCCAAUGUUCAAGGGUUCUUCUGGGAAUAUACCAUUCAACCAACCUUUUAGGUAAAUGUUCCAGGAUGUUGGGUAGAAUAUACCAUCAGAUCAACCUUUCAGGUCUACAUUGGAAAAUUUUAGAGUAGAAUAUUACUCCAAACCAUCCUUUAGGUCUACAUUUAAGGUGGAAUACUCCUUUACACCAAGAUUUUUUGGUCUACAUUGAAGGAUUUUGGGUGGAAUAUUCCUUUGAACGAACUUUUUAAGUUUAUGUUCAAGGAUGUUGGGUGGAAUAUACCAUCAGAACAACCUCCAAGGUCUACAGUAGUGAAUUUUAGGUGGAAUAUACCAUUAAACUCACCUUUUAGGUCUACAUUGGAGGAUUUUAGGUGGAAUUUUCUUCCAAACCGUCUUUUAGUCUACAUGUAAGGAUGUUUAGGAUGGUAUAUUCUUCCAAACCAACUUCUCAGGUCUACAUUUCAGGUGGAAUAUUCCUCCAUACUAACUUUUUUGGUCUACAUUGGAGGAUCUUUUCUAAAUCACCCUUUCAGGUCUAUAUUUGAGGUUUUAGGUGGAAUAUUCCUUUUAACCAGCCCCUCAGGUCUCUUUGAGGAUUUUGGAUGGAAUACUCUGUUAAACCAACAUUUUAGGUGCAUGUCCAAGGAUUUUUGGUGGGAUGUUCCUUUAAGGUGGAUGUGUGAGGACCUUGUAGGUGGAAUACUUCCUGAAACCAACCUUUUAGGUCAACAUUCAAAGAUUUAAGUUGGAAUAUUCCUUUAAACCAACCUAAAUUUCAUGUUUUGAUCAUUAUCAAGUGAGAAACCUCAAUCCAGACUCCUCAUAAUGACGUUUGAGAUUUAUGCUGCUGUUAUUUGUUUAGUCCAGACUAAAUGACAGAAAUCCACAACUGCAAUUUUAUUUCAGGACUCGGUUAUUCAAUAUCAAAACAAUCCAUGUGACUCUAAAAACUCAACAGCUUUACAAACUGUAAGAUUAAACUCUCCACAAGGAUCCAAAAUAAGUUGGACUUCUACAUGAGAGCUUUAAUCAUUCUUCAUCUACUUCCUGAAAAGUUUGGUAAAAAAAAAAAGACAAAAACUAAUAUUUUCAGCUGAACUAAAGACAGACUUUGUGAUUUUUCUGCUCACAUGUUGUGUUGUUGUAAACUUACUCUUUCAAAUAAAUAUCCGCCUAACCCCCUGGAAACCAGCGUUUGUCCUGUUUUUGUGUUGCUCCUCGGCGACCCUAGACAGCCGGGUCCUAAUGUUUUUUGAGCAACACACCAUACUGUGAUGCUUUUACAAUGAGGGUUCUACUAUGGAACCAGUUUGACAUGUUCAGGUGUUCUUUGUGUGAAAACUCAGAGAUUUCAUGUAUCAGAAGGUGGUUUUCAACUUUGUUAACUUUCUGCUUCAACUUUAAACUAAAUUUCCUUCACUAAGCCAGCCCUCUGGACUUCCAGGAAGCUGUGUUCCUAUUGGCUGUCCAGGUGGCUGCUAGGUAUUAUCAGGAACACCUGAGCAGCUCAGUGUCUUCCUGCUUUAUUUAGCUGCAGACAAACAUUUCCUCUGCUUCUCCACCACUGAACCGGGUUUGGCUCCGUUGCUUCAGUUUGUUCUUUAGGCGUUGGCUUGCAGCUUCCAGCAGUAAAAUCGUCUAUAAUGUGUUUCUUGGUGUGUUUUAGGGCUUUGUACUGGAUAGUUGUCUUGGUACAUGUGGUUCUUUAGCCACAGUUAGCACAUGGUGCUAAUGUGUGCAGUAAUUAGUGGAUUUGGUACAGCUGCGUUGUGUCUUUAUCUUGGCUGUAGUGAGUCUUUAGAGGUUUUUGGUCAGACACAUUCUGUAUUCUCAUUUGAGAACCAAGGUUGGUUGUCCAGAAGGUAAGAGUUCCUGUCCUGAUUCUCUGUUCUCAGAGGUUCUCUGGUAGGCUGCAGGAGACUUUAGCGUUUGGGUUGUGCUAGUUUGGUUUUUGUAUGGUUUCAUUUGGACGACUAUCUUGAGGCCCCUCCAUGUGAUUUAGUGAGGUUUUCUGCAACAGUUCUACAAAGCAACCUGCAGCAGAAGAGACUUUGAGAGUUUUUAGGAAGUUCUGGAGACCAGACUUUAGAGCAGCAGAAACAUUUGUCAGCAGUUUGAGCAGGAGAAGGUGAGCUUCAGAGUAGAAAUGAGACGGAAACCUUCUUGACCCGUGUGGUGAGGUCCUGUACCAAGAGUUUGAGCAGGUUGUGAAGAGUCUGUAGUUCUUUGGUCUGAAAGCACAAGAAGAGUCAGUUUCCAGUUUCCUUAGACUGAAUAUCAAGUUUAUGUUUUAAAUGAUUUCCCAUGUGAGCCCAAGAAGACUUCAAUAAACUCCCUCCAUCCCCUGGACACAACAGAUUUUAUUACCAUGUUAAUUUUUUUUUUAAAAAUAUGUUUUUGAGUUUUAAUCAUAGUUUAGCAUCGUUUUUUUUCUUUGCUUGUUUUGUCAUCUGUGUGAAAGGUGCUAAACAAAUAAAGCUGAAUUGAUAAACUGAAUAAUUGACUAACUCGUGAGUGUGACAACAGAAGUAUUUUCAUUGUGAUUUAAGGGUUUGUUUCAUUUUAAAAGUUGGGGUUAAAAUCUUAACUGAAAAAAAAUUAAAGAAAUAAACUACAUUUUUAAAAAGCAAUUAAAUCAAAUGAAAAAAUAUUUAAUACAAUAAAACUUUUAAAAAGAAAAUUAAACAUUAAAUAAAGUUAAAUUAGAUUCAACAGA